AACGAACGCUGGCGGCGUGGAUUAGGCAUGCAAGUCGAGCGAGACCUUCGGGUCUAGCGGCGGACGGGUGAGUAACGCGUGGGAACGUGCCUUUUGCUUCGGAAUAGCGCCGGGAAACUGGGAGUAAUACCGAAUGUGCUCUACGGAGGAAAGAUUUAUCGGCAAAAGAUCGGCCCGAGUUGGAUUAGGUAGUUGGUGGGGUAAUGGCCUACCAAGCCGACGAUCCAUAGCUGGUUUGAGAGGAUGAUCAGCCACACUGGGACCGAGACACGGCCCAGACUCCUACGGGAGGCAGCAGUGGGGAAUAUUGCACAAUGGGCGAAAGCCUGAUGCAGCAACGCCGCGUGAGUGAUGAAGGCCUUCGGGUUGUAAAGCUCUGUCUUUUGGGACGAUAAUGACGGUACCAAAGGAGGAAGCCACGGCUAACUACGUGCCAGCCGCCGCAGUAACAC
rnacentral:rRNA from 1 species